UACGUAGGGGGCGAGCGUUGUCCGGAUUUAUUGGGCGUAGAGAGCGUGUAGGCGGUUCGGUAAGUCUGUCGUGAAAUCCUGAGGCUCAACCUCGGGCGUGCGAUGGAUACUGCCGGGCUAGAGGGUGGUAGAGGCGAGUGGAAUUCCCGGUGUAGCGGUGAAAUGCGCAGAUAUCAGGAAGAACACCAAUGGCGAAAGCAGCUCUCUGGGACGGUACUGACGCUGAGACGCGAAAGCGUGGGGAGCGAACAGG
rnacentral:rRNA from 1 species